CUUUCUCCUGCGAGUCUAUCAGCGACGCCCAGCAAGUCCGUGUGCCCCGCCGGGGUCUCAGACCUCAUCACCCGGGGGCGUCUGAACACGAGAUCCCCUUUCUUGGAGGCUGGUUAUGCUCAAGGCACAGGGUGACAUAUGACAGUAUUGUGCUGGAAGAACCCAGAGUACGUAGAGAGAAGUAUAUCAAGAAUGGGCCGAAGGUACAAGCUGCCAGUCACGAGACGAAGCUCUCCCGGGGAACCGAGUGCAGCAUGGUCCCUGCAGGGAACAACACUGUCUCGUGUGUUUGAAAGUUGCCCAGGACGUAGGUCCUAAAAGUCCUCGUGCCAAGGAGGCGUUUCCGUAAGCGUGUUGGCUGACAGAUGUGGGCUGCGGUCGUCGAGGCGGACAUUUCACAACACGUGCAGAUAUCAGACCGUCCUGCCGGGCGCCUGACACCACGAUGCUGGCGUCUUCAUUUAAUAAAGAGGAACGUGGUCGGGGGCCUCGAGGUGGGAGAGUGGCACGGCUGAUUUGCUGUGCAACAGAGAUGCUCUGGCAGAGACAUGAGACACGAGAGGGGGCAGGGAGGCAGUGAGGGGCCCUCGUAACGGUCCAGGCAGGAGAGAUGCUGGUGUGGACCCGGCUGGCUCCAAGGACGGGGUACCAGCUGGUCGUGAGUCUGCAGGCUGCUGUGGGGUCUGUCCUCGCCGCUGUUUACGGGUCUGGGUGACAGAGGUUGUGGGGCUUUCUCGGCGGGGUCUCCUUGCAUCCGGGUGAGGGGAGGGGGAAGAAUGACUCCACAUGUGAGGUCCUUCCACCUCCGGGCCGAGGGGUGGCCCUGCGUCACCCUCACUAACCAUUUGGCUUUGAGGAAGUUAAUCCCAGAUGUAUCUGUCCUUCGAUUCCCGGCUUAGCAGGGCGGCUGGGCGUGGCUGGGAAGGGGCCAGCUCAGGAGAACCGGAGGGCAAGCCUGUGGAGCAACACCUAGCCAUCGCCGAGCGUUGAUGACUGGGGAAUCGUGUUGGUAACAGGCCACCUUGGGGACACCUAAAGGAGACAGCACCCCAAGACCGUCUUUCUUAAAAGCAAAGGUAACCCAAGAAAUAGCUGAUUGCCACCUGGGGGGCAGGUACAGUGCCUUUGUCCUCAGAUUGGAAAAAGUGGUUAUCGGGUAAUGCAACAUCCGUUAUCUAACUCCCUUCCCUGUCGUCACCUUUCAGUUGCAGCGGCCGAAUUUUAGCCAAUGAGGCAGAAGCAGAACUCUUUGGUAAACGUUUUGUAAAAGCGUUGGAUUUGCCGAUGAUCGCUUCCUGUUCUGGCUUCCUCCUUCUUUUUUGUCUCGGACACAGCUCUGAUGGCUAGGGCUGCAGCAGCCACUUUGUGAACAUGAGUCCAGGGCCUCAACAUAAAAACUCUUGGCCCAGACAUCACUGGGCCCUUGAGGCAACGCCAGAGUCAUCUGCUCCUAGACACCUUGCUAGAGGCCUCUGAUGAAAAUAGAUGUCUACAUGAAAAUACAACCUAUUUAUUAUUGAGACUACAGCGGUCAGGUUGUAUUACCUCUAACCAAACGUAUUUCUCACUGAUACACACGUUACAUCAUUUCAUCUUUAAAUAGUUCCCCUUGUUCCAGAGGAGAAAAUGUUUGCUGCUCACAGUGGUUCAGCAGUAAGUGCUAGAUCCAUGAUCUGUGCCCAGAUAACACUAACCGUUUCUAUUUCUCUUUGGCUUGUGGUUUCACUGGAAAACGUUAUUCUCAGAGAGUGAGUUCUCAGUAUAGCGUGCUGUGGAUUAUUUAUAAAACCAGUCUGAAAUAAAAUAGAAUUACCCAUAAUCCUACCUCCCAGAGAUAACAACUAUAAUUUUUUUUGUGGGGGCCACCGUGUUCUGUUAGCUCUUUCCUGUUAUUUAAAAUCACCUACAUGCUCUAAGCUCUUUGCCCAGCCUUACCUCCUAUUUUUUUUUAUAACAUUUGCCACUUUCUAGUAUCCCUUAUAAUGUGCUUACUUACUAUCUUUUUUUUUUUCCUACCAGCAUAUAACCCUCACGGGGAGGGAUCUUUGCCUUUACCGAGCACAUUUGCGUGACCACGUUGACGACUAGGAGCCUCGCGUGCUCCCCCAGCUACACAGAGUGUUUCGUAAAAACUGUCCCAUUUGCUUUCUUGAAAUAAUGGGAUCCCCGAAUAAAUGAAAUGUAAUUAAUACACGCAUAGAUCUUAGAGCCGUGCUGUGUUCAGCACAUGGUUACCGCUGAGGGUUAACUAUUAUUUCUGUAUUAUUAUAAAAUCGGUCCCUUC